AUUGAACGCUGGCGGCAUGCCUUACACAUGCAAGUCGAACGGCAGCACGGGGGCAACCCUGGUGGCGAGUGGCGAACGGGUGAGUAAUGCAUCGGAACGUGCGCAGUAGUGGGGGAUAACCAGUCGAAAGACUGGCUAAUACCGCAUACGACCCAAGGGUGAAAGCGGGGGACCGUAAGGCCUCGCGCUAUUGGAGCGGCCGAUGUCUGAUUAGCUAGUUGGCGGGGUAAGGGCCCACCAAGGCGACGAGCAGUAGCUGGUCUGAGAGGACGACCAGCCACACCGGGACUGAGACACGGCCCAGACUCCUACGGGAGGCAGCAGUGGGGAAUUAUGGACAAUGGGCGCAAGCCUGAUCCAGCCAUGCCGCGUGCGGGAAGAAGGCCUUCGGGUUGUAAACCGCUUUUGGCAGGAACGAAACGGCGCAGGCCAAUACCUUGCGCUAAUGACGGUACCUGCAGAAUAAGCACCGGCUAACUACGUGCCAGCAGCCGCGGUAAGAC
rnacentral:rRNA from 1 species